AUGCCGGUUUCCUGCGCUCUCCGGCGCCGCGCGGGGGGCGGCGGCUGGGGGGCUCCGGGGCUCCGCGGGUCCAGGCGCGGGACGGAAGGGAAGGCGGGCAGCCGAGGGGGGCGCCCGGGGCGCGGCGCGGCGAGGUCGGCCCGCACACGCCCCUCUCCGGGCCCGCGGUGCGAGCGCACCCGGCGGAUCCCUCAGUGUCCCCCGCGCGGCGGCGGCUCGCGCGAUCCCGGGCUCGCUCACCUGGGCCAGCCCUGGGCGGCCCGGCACGUCGCAGAUCGGGGCGCGCCGCCCGGGGAGGGGGCGCCCGCGAAGGUCCCCGGUCCUCCGGCGGUGGGCUGGGCGGGGGAGCCCGCUGGCCGGCCCGGGGCUUGGCAGGGCGAUCCCGAGAAGGUUUGCAGGGCAGGUCUCGGAGAACAAAGGGCGGGGGGGAGGACCCGGCAUGUUUGCGGACUUGUUUGUGACUCAGUCCCUUUUUCACACGGCGUUUCAAAGGCAGAACUGCAAGCCUUGCCAGGAAGAGAAAGCACUUGGGGGCGGGGAGGCCCGGGCCCAUUUCUGUGCAGCCCUCGGGCUCGGCGCUGCCCCUCGGCGCCAGGCGCGCGCAGCGGCGUCUCAUUAGGGCCCCGGCCGCCGGCCGCUCUCCAGGAACUUCCCCGCGAGGGGCGAGAUUUACGACCUCCCCCCGCCCCCCCGGCGCUCGCCUCGCGCUGUCAGGCGGGCGCGCCGCCGCAUAAAAUGGAUCCGGGGCGGCGCGGCGGCGGCGGCGGGCGGCGGCGGCGGGCUCCCGGGCGGCGGGGCGGCGGUUCCCGAGGCUCCGCGCUGCGCCCGGGCGCACACGCGCGCACUGACCGCGGCGGCGCCCGGGCCACGCCGAGCCGCCUCUCCCUGCCCUCGCGCAACUGUCAGGCCGAGCGGGCUGGCGGAUAUUGGCUCCGCCACGCGCCGAGGCUCCUCCCCGAGCCUGGAUCUUUAUAUUUUGGGAGAAUUUCUUUGAACUCAGUUACCGAGCUCCGUGGAGGAGACAAGUUCCCGCCGCCGGUCGCCGGCCGGGGCGCGGCGCGGGGCUCGCCCACCGUCCCUGCAGCCGCGUGUGCCCGGCCGCCCUCCUCGCUUCCCUCGCGCACUUGGCCGGGGGGGAAAUGCCAAUGA
rnacentral:lncRNA from 1 species